AAUGAACGUUGGCGGCGUGGAUUAGGCAUGCAAGUCGAACGCACAGCAAUGUGAGUGGCGCAAGUGUGAGUAAUACGACGGUAACCAACCCCGAGGAUGGGCAUAGCCGCGGGAAACUGCGGGUAAUUCCCAGCGACGUCGCGAACCGGCAUCGGUUUGCGACCAAAGGUGUGAUGCCGCCUUGGGACAGGCCGUCGCGGUAUUAGGUGGGUGGUGGGGUAACGGCUCACCAAGCCUACGAUGCCUACCGGGCGUGCGAGCGUGGCCCGGCACACUGGAACUGAGACACUGCCCAAACACCUACAGGUGGCUGCAGUCGAGAAUCUGCGGCGAUAGGCGCAAGCCUGACCGAGCGACGCCGCGUGAGGGAUGAAGGCCUUCGGGUUGUAAACCUCUUUCGUAGAGGAGGAAGGGGCCGUGAAGAACGGUCUUUAACCUAUUCUAGGAAGAAGCACGGGCUAAGUUCGUGCCAGCAGCCGCCGUAACAC
rnacentral:rRNA from 1 species